rnacentral:rRNA from 1 species
GUGAGGAAUAUUGCGCAAUGGGGGAAACCCUGACGCAGCGACGCCGCGUGGGCGACGAAGGCCUUCGGGUCGUAAAGCCCUUUUGUCAGGGACGAGUGAGGACGGUACCUGGCGAAUAAGUCUCGGCUAACUACGUGCCAGCAGCCGCGGUAAAACGUAGGAGGCGAGCGUUAUCCGGAUUCACUGGGCGUAAAGCGCGCGUAGGCGGUUGGUUAAGUCGGAUGUGAAAGCCCCUGGCUCAACUGGGGGAGGUCAUUCGAUACUGGCCGGCUUGAGGGUGAGAGAGGGAAGUGGAAUUCCCGGUGUAGCGGUGGAAUGCGUAGAGAUCGGGAGGAACACCAGUGGCGAAGGCGGCUUCCUGGCUCACUUCUGACGCUGAGAGCGCGAAAGCGUGGGGAGCAAACGGGAUUAGAAACCCUAGUAGUCC